rnacentral:tRNA from 1 species
GCCCCUGUAGCUCAGCAUGGAUAGAGCGCCUGCCUCCUAAGCAGGAGGUCCCGGGUUCAAAUCCCGGCAGGGGCA